UUGGCAGCUCGCUUAACAAUUCACUUAUCAAUUCCAGGGAGCAUCAGAGCCAGGCAGCACGAUUUACGUCACGUUUUUUACGCAAAAAAGCAAAACAAAAAAAAUGGCGCCCCAUCGGGGAAAGCGAUCAAAAGUCCGGUCAACAAGGAA